GACGAACGCUGGCGGCGUGCUUAACACAUGCAAGUCGAACGCUGAAGCUCAGCUUUUGUUGGGUGGAUGAGUGGCGAACGGGUGAGUAACACGUGAGUAACCUGCCCACUUCUUUGGGAUAACGCCCGGAAACGGGUGCUAAUACUGGAUAUUCACUGGUCUUCGCAUGGGGGUUGGUGGAAAGGGUUUUUCUGGUGGGGGAUGGGCUCGCGGCCUAUCGGCUUGUUGGUGGGGUGAUGGCCUACCAAGGCUUUGACGGGUAGCCGGCCUGAGAGGGUGACCGGUCACAUUGGGACUGAGAUACGGCCCAGGCGCCUACGGGGGGCAGCAGUGGGGAAUAUUGCACAAUGGGCGCAAGCCUGAUGCAGCGACGCCGCGUGAGGGAUGGGGGCCGUCGGGUUGUGAACCUCUUUCGCACAUGGUCAAGCCGCAACAAUGGUUGUGGUGAGGGUAGUGGGUAAAGAAGCGCCGGCUAACUACGUG
rnacentral:rRNA from 1 species